GAGAUGGUGGGAGUAGCGUGUGCCCUCCUGGCUAGAGGCUGGAUGGAGGACUACUGUGCUCCCGGGUAGCGCGGACCGGUUCACGUUGUGGAGGAUCUGUGGGAACGGUUGACAUAUGCAAGGGUUAAGUGCUACAUAUGUCGUGUGGUUAGAGAUCCUUAGCUGAGUAAAUCGAUUCGGAUCGCCGUUAUAUCCCCGGAGAGUGGAGACUUGAUCACUGACCUGCAACCUAAGUCAGGAUAUGAACCUCAUGAAUAAAAAUGAUGUUGUAUUGAUGAGAUGGUGAAAUUAGAUCAGAUGCAAACAGAGUCUAUUAAUACUUAAUUCGGCGUUAAAAUGUUGAAAGUAAGGACUCACUUUAGUAAGCUAUUUCUGCAAAAGUAUCUAAGUUGAUUUUUGCUAAAGCCUCUUCUUGAUUCCUAUUUAUCCAGCAUACCCUUGAGAGUCUUUUCCUUAGUCGGGUAAGACUUGCUGAGUAAUUCCAUACUCAGGGUUUUAUUCCCUGUUGUUUUUCAGGUUCUAACCUUGUGCUGCUGUAAUGGUGUUAAGUGCCGGUGGGCUCGGCCUUCUUAUAAGUCUAAGUAACCCUUCUAUACUUCUUAUUGAGGAUGGUCGUUUGAGCUAGCAUAUAUUUCAAACAUAUACUUUUGUAAUCACUCCGAUAAAAUAAUGUAAAAUUUUUGUAACUUG
rnacentral:lncRNA from 7 species